GUGAGAUGGAAUUAACGUUUGGACAUACGAAUUACGCUGAUUCCAUCUCAUGA
rnacentral:pre_miRNA from 1 species